rnacentral:rRNA from 1 species
AUACGUAGGUGGCGAGCGUUGUCCGGAUUUACUGGGCGUAAAGCGCGCGCAGGCGGCCGGCCAAGUCUCGGGUGAAAGCUCCCGGCUCAACCGGGAGAGGUCUCGAGAUACUGGUCGGCUCGAGGGGAUCAGAGGAGAGUGGAAUUCCCGGUGUAGCGGUGAUAUGCGUAGAUAUCGGGAGGAACACCGGUGGCGAAGGCGGCUCUCUGGGCUCUCCCUGACGCUGAGGCGCGAAAGCGUGGGGAGCAAACCGAAUUAGAUACCCUAGUAGUCC